UACAGAGGGUGCAAGCGUUAAUCGGAAUUACUGGGCGUAAAGCGCGCGUAGGUGGUUUGUUAAGUUGAAUGUGAAAGCCCCGGGCUCAACCUGGGAACUGCAUCCAAAACUGGCAAGCUAGAGUACGGUAGAGGGUGGUGGAAUUCCGAGUGUAGAGGUGAAAUUCGUAGAUAUUCGGAAGAACACCAGUGGCGAAGGCGACUUACUGGACACAUAUUGACGCUGAGGUGCGAAAGCGUGGGGAGCAAACAGG
rnacentral:rRNA from 1 species